AGAGUUUGAUCCUGCUCAGAACGAACGCUGGCGGCGUGCUUAACACAUGCAAGUCGAACGAGAAAGGGUUCUUCGGAACCUGAGUAAAGUGGCGCACGGGUGAGUAACGCGUAGAUNAUCUUCCCCUUUGUCAGGGAUAACCGGCCGAAAGGCUGACUAAUACCUGAUAAGCUUAUUACCCGCCGGGGUAAUAAGGGAAGGUGGCCUCUAUUUAUAUGCUACCGCAGAGGGAUGAGUCUGCGUACCAUUAGCUUGUUGGUAGGGUAAUGGCCUACCAAGGCUGCGAUGGUUAGCUGGUCUGAGAGGAUGAUCAGCCACACUGGAACUGAGACACGGUCCAGACUCCUACGGGAGGCAGCAGUGGGGAAUAUUGCGCAAUGGGGGAAACCCUGACGCAGCAACGCCGCGUGAGUGAAGAAGG
rnacentral:rRNA from 1 species